AAAUACAUCACACUAAACAAGGACUUUUAAAGUCUUAUUGGAAAUUUAAAAUGUAGUCAGAGUUGCCAAUCCGAAAAAGGACUUUAAUUAUCCUUUGUUUUCCGUACACUGGCAAACUGUUUAGUAUACUUUUGAGUUUGACAGCUCAGACUUAUAUUUCUAAUAUGGAUUAUGCUUUUGAAAUCUCAUAUGCUGUAAUUGUUUGCAAUGCACAAACAAGAACGAAGCAACAAAUGCUUUCUCACUACAGAGUGGUACACAGAGGGGAUGCAGAUUUCAAGGCCCCUUGCUUUGAGUGCGAGAAAACAAUUUUGGACCGAAAGUGUUCUAAGAAAACACCUAAGCCGUCAUCAUGUUUUAUUCUUCAACAAUGAAGCUGCAGCAGUGAUUCCAGCUCUGGAAGUACCAAGUGUUAACAAAGUGUUAACAGCGACCUGCAGUUUGAGUGUUCAUCACACACAUCAGCCAAUUCUCUCAUCGAAGAUUUGUAUCCUCCAAACAAUCAGCAUGAUUCUGGCCUUUAUCUUCUGAACCUCUCACAUGAGAGAAAAUUUUACCAAGUGGACUUGAAGACUGUGAUGGAAGCAACAAAAGAAUUUGUCAACAAGAAAAUUUUAGCUGUACUCUCUCGAGCAAUAGCCAGCUUAGAAGAUUCUGGGUGCACACACACUGAGUGUUUUGCUCAACUUGCAAGCUGUACAAUUACAAAUUUUGCAAGACUUUUUAUGUUGUCUGUGUUGUCUUUGUUGAAUCAAUAUAGAAUUUGCUGACUUA